rnacentral:rRNA from 1 species
CAGCCGCCGCGGUAAUACGGAGGGGGCUAGCGUUGUUCGGAAUUACUGGGCGUAAAGCGCACGUAGGCGGCUUGGUAAGUUAGAGGUGAAAGCCCAGGGCCCAACUCUGGAAUUGCCUUUAAGACUGCCGAGCUAGUAGGUGAGAGAGGUAAGUGGAAUUCCGAGUGUAGAGGUGAAAUUCGUAGAUAUUCGGAAGAACACCAGUGGCGAAGGCGGCUCACUGGACGACUGUUGACGCUGAGGUACGAAAGCGUGGGGAGCAAACAGGAUUAGAUACCCCCGUAGUCCCUGUCUCUUAUAC